GAUGAACGCUGGCGGCGUGCCUAAUACAUGCAAGUCGAGCGAACAGACGAGGAGCUUGCUCCUCUGACGUUAGCGGCGGACGGGUGAGUAACACGUGGAUAACCUACCUAUAAGACUGGGAUAACUUCGGGAAACCGGAGCUAAUACCGGAUAAUAUAUUGAACCGCAUGGUUCAAUAGUGAAAGACGGUUUUGCUGUCACUUAUAGAUGGAUCCGCGCCGCAUUAGCUAGUUGGUAAGGUAACGGCUUACCAAGGCGACGAUGCGUAGCCGACCUGAGAGGGUGAUCCGCCACACUGGAACUGAGACACGGUCCAGACUCCUACGGGAGGCAGCAGUAGGGAAUCUUCCGCAAUGGGCGAAAGCCUGACGGAGCAACGCCGCGUGAGUGAUGAAGGUCUUCGGAUCGUAAAACUCUGUUAUUAGGGAAGAACAAAUGUGUAAGUAACUAUGCACGUCUUGACGGUACCUAAUCAGAAAGCCACUGCUAACUACGUG
rnacentral:rRNA from 1 species